CGUCAGCGGCGGAGGGCGGACGGAGAGGAAGAAACAUUACACGAGGCCUCCAGAGUCUUUAUGCCACUACUUUCAUAGUAGGCCCCAUAAAGCGACAGGGAAGAGUGGAAUGCGACCAAUUUAAAUUUUCUGUGUCGCUGUCAGUAGCAGUGAGUGCCUAGGUGCCUCCAUCAGCAGUAAAAGCACUUCCCCAAACCCGAGGACGGGCUUUCGGACAGCACGCUGUACUUCUCCUUACACGUACUGCAUGCUUGGUGUCAACGACGACGUGCCGGGGAGGAAAUUAAACUCGGAGAGUUCAUCGUAAUUUUAGGCUCGUUUGGGUUUCUGUUAUUUGGAACUAGGAGUCUUGAUAAACACAAAACAAAAAUACAAGCGUUUCGACUAGAGACCAGAAGAAUUCUUUCCAGAGUCUUCUUCAUGGAGUUGUGCUACUAGGCUACAGCUCUGCUGCAAGAAAUAGUCCAACAGAAACUGUCUUCGCGGCCAGCUGUCAAAGUGGGGGUGAAGACAGUUUUCUCCUCUGGAUCCACAUGGAAAUAAAGUUUUAAAUUUGCUGCCUUGAAGAACUUC